GGGAGGCAGAGGUUGCGGUGAGCUGAGUUCGCACCAUCACACUCCAGCCUGGGCAACAAGAGCAAAACUCCAUCUCAAAAAAAAAAAAAAAGAGUGUGUGUGUGUAUGCAUGCUUAAGAGUGUGUGUGCAUGUGUGUGUAGGCACACGAUGGGAUCCCCAGGCCCUCAGCCUGCCCAGCCGCCCUCACUUGCCUGUGGCACCCAGCAGCUGGUGAGGGACUGUGCAGCCGGGUCUCUAAAUCCAUCUCCUGGUUUCCAGUGUAGAGCGAGCUAAAGAUCAGGGCCACGGGCAGGAGGCUGCCUCAUUCUCCUCCUUUCCAGGAUGGAGCAGGAAGAGCCAGUGCCAGCGUUCCGAGCUUGCAGUGAACGCACCCAGCCGCCCGCCUCAGCCUGCAGUCAUUAGCUGGCAGUGCAGCGAUGCCUCCGUUUACUGACAGCAUGUGUUCGGGGAGGGGCAUACCAUUUGAAUUUUUGUACGUGAAUCACAAACGCCAGGGGAGAUCCUUAAAACAGACCUAGACCUACGACAGACCAUUUCUCCUCCAGCCAGCGCUUCACGUAGCGUGUGGCGCCCUGGCCUCGUCCAAGCAGCUGUCUGGGAGGAUGGCUUCUUCCCCGGAUUUGCCCAAUCUGGGCCCUCCGCCUUGACUUCAACAGCCAGUGAGGGUCCACCUCGCCCAGAGCUACCGAGGCCUCAACGUGCAUAGGGCUCCCAGAGAAGCUGUCCCAGGUGAGGGCCAGAUUGAGUUUGACAUCGUCGUUGCCAGAGAGCACCCUGGCCGCCGCUUUGGUUUUGAUUACAGGCGGCCCGGCACCGGGCUACUAGCCAUGGCCUCUUCACCUGAACUGCCGGCAUGAGGCACAGAUGCUAAUCACACGGGUGACAAGCUGUCCUUCGAUGGGCUCUUCUCCGGAGGCCUGCAGGGGCCAAGUCACAACCAGAAGGCAUCCAAACACAGGUGAGUGAGGGGACUGGGGGUACAUGUCCCCUAAAGCAGUGCAAUGAUGAGCAGGCUUACGGGGGUUCCAACCUUAUUCUGGGCUGGUGGAAACACCCUCGGAAUAAGCUUGCUAUGCUGCUGAGAAGAGGGUCCUUCCCAGGCCUCACACCGCUCUCUCCCUUCCUUCCCUGCCUUAGGCUGCAGGUGGCUAUGGAAGGGAAAUGGAAAUUGUCUGUGCAGGGUAGGAACCUGGCCUCCCCCCAGUGCAGAGCUGGAUAAUUACACAGGUAAAGGGUCAGGGUAGGUGCAGGACCUGCUCUGCCAGUAAACUGGGGGCAGGGGUGAGUGAGUAAAACAACACUGUGUCCCUCCCACCAUCAGCUCUCUGUGGCCCCUGGACUGACUUCUUUCUUUCUUUCUUUCUUUCUUUCUUUCUUUCUUUCUUUCUUUCUUUCUUUCUUUCUUUCCUUCUUUCUUCUUUCUUUCUUUCCUUUCCUUCUUUCUUCUUUCUUUCCUUUCUUUCUUUCUUUCUUUUCCUUCUUUCUUCUUUCUUUCCUUCCAUCCUUCCUUCCCUUCUUUCCUUCCUUCCCUUCUUUCUUUCCCUUUCUUUCUUUCUUUCUUUCUUUCUUUCUUUCUUUCUUUCUUUCUUUCUUUCUUUCUUUCUUUCUUUCUUUCCUUCUUUUUGAGUCAGUUUCACUCUUGUUGCCCAGGCUGGAGUGCAAUGGGGCAAUGUCGGUUCACUGCAACCUC
rnacentral:lncRNA from 10 species